rnacentral:rRNA from 1 species
GAUGAACGCUGGCGGCGUGCCUAAUACAUGCAAGUCGAACGGGGAGUAGCAAUACUCUUAGUGGCGAACGGGUGAGUAACGCGUUGGUACCUGCCCCGUAGCGGGGGAUAACGGACCGAAAGGUCCGCUAAUACCCCAUGUGCUCGGUAACGAGUAAAGGUGAAAACCACUUUGGGAGGGGCAUGCGUCCCAUCAGCUAGUUGGUAAGGUAACGGCUUACCAAGGCGAUGACGGGUAGGGGACCUGAGAGGGUGGCCCCCCACAAUGGAACUGAAACACGGUCCAUACACCUACGGGUGGCAGCAGUAGGGAAUAUUGGUAAUGGGCGCAAGCCUGAACCAGCAACGCCGCGUGUGCGAUGACGGCCUUCGGGUUGUAAAGCACUUUUGACUGGGACGAGGAAGGACGGUACCGGUCGAAUCAGCCUCGGCUAACUACGUG